GGUGCUUGUGUGAUGGUGAGGGGAACAAAGUUAUCUGCUGAGAUGUCAGGAACCAGUGUCACCAGGCAGGGUUUCUGGGAGGACGUGACACUCACCAUGCUAGAAAGGUGGCACUUGAGAAGGGGGAGCUGACCCUGCAACACAGCACUCUCAGGACUUCCUGUCCUUUCCAUGCAUGGCUGUACUCAGACAAUAUGCAGGAGGUAGAGGAGGUAAUUAUUGGAUUAUUAGCAUGCUUUGCUGUUGAGGUGCAUUGCCUAGGUUUGUUUUCUGUUUUUUAAAUUUCAAUGAUGCUUCUUUAAUCAGGAACUCCUUUUCACCUUCAUGACAAUAGUAUAAUAAACCUUUAAUCUUGAUGACUGAUUACCAUAUACCUUUCAAAUCAACACACUUUCAGUUGCACUGAUUUCAGUUAUUCUGGGUCUUCUCUUGCACUUGUCCCCUAUGGUGACGCAUGCACCCUCUCUUCCCUCUCCAGUUAUGUGCAUGGCCCCUCCUCUGUCUUUACUCUUUCAUUUCCCUACCCCAUAAGUAGCAAUAUACUAGACUUUGAGGAUGACUGAAAAACUCAAUAUACAGACCCUGGCUCUGAGGAUCUUUUAAACUGAGAGCAGAUUAUAAUGUGAACUAUAGGAAUACAUGGAAGAGAAAGAUUGCUGUGUAGUGAGGAAAUCAGCACAUAUUCUGAAGAGAAAAUUUAGCAGGAUCUUGAGAUUUGAGAAAGAUCUGGACAGAGAGAGAAGCUUUCUGGCUAGUGUCUUAUUCAGAGUCAAUGAGGAAAUGGAUUUCCUGGUUCAGGGUUCCUGCUGAGGAGUCACAGGUGGCUGCCUGGGAUGGGAACAGUAGUGUCAGGCCACAGAGGGCCCUGAACACCAGAAGGAAAAAAAUCACUUUAACAUUUAUUGAUGACAUUAUGUGACAGACACUGUCUGGGGAAUUCCAUAUUAUCUGAUAAAGUUGUCAUGAUGAUUAAAUGAGACAUGCAUAAAAUUACUUAGCACCAGACUGGUACUUGAUAAUUUCUUAGUGAAUGCCAGCCUUCAUUGUCACAUGACUGCUCCUGCUGUUGUUACUGUUAUUAUUCAUUACCUGCCACAGCCCUAAUAAGCCAUAUCACAAUCCCAUAAGAUAUCACUGCCCCUACUUUCUUCUGAAGAGAAAAAGUUUGAGAAAACGUCUUAGAAAUACUCUCAGUGUUUUUCAGUUCUUGGAAUCUACAUGUAAUAAGUAAAGGAACUCAGGCUUGUCUUAUUCCAAGCUUUCUUUAAAAACCAGGUAUUUUAUCAGAGAAAUAAAUACUGCCACUUCCUGCAGUUCAAUGUUGAAAAGCAUUCUGAUGAGGACGGUCAAGUAUGCAUCAUGAGGGUAGAAAACAUUUAGCAUGAGAAACAGGGCAAGGUCCAGGCAGAAAUACUGUAAUAAUACAUUAAAUACUACCCCUCAAUGGACAAAACAAUGUCAUGUACAUUGUGGAAUUUUUCCAUAGGCCCAUUUUUGGGGGUGGGGAAACUGAGUUAAAAGGGAGUAGGUGACUUGCCUGAAACUACAAACUAGUGAGACAAUGGGAAUUCAAACUUCAGCUCCAAUAUAAUAAAAAAGAAAAAGGAAACAAAACAAAACAAAAGCCCUGGUGAUUUUCUAAAUAGAUUCCUUUAAUACAGCAAAAACCUAAAGGUCCAUAGAAUGCACCUGAACAAAUGCUGUUUGGUGAAAACACAAGUGUGAUCAAAUGCCAUGGACCCACAGGAAGCUGGUGGCUCUCUUACAACACUAGAGCUGCCCUUGGAGUCCAAAGAGGCCCAAGACACCAAACUCAGUAAGAGGAGAGCUCUGCAGCAGCAGGGAAAAUGCAGUCCUUCUUCACAAAUGAUGGAAGAUGAGCAUGGUCAGAGAUGAGUUUGGGAGCUCUUUUCUCUGUAUUGCCAACAAGCAUUUUCCUGGGCGUGUCUUCCAGAUGCAUGGCAUUCUAGAUUUUAUGUGCAAAAUGAUCAGAAAUGGUGGGGGAAAUGGAGAGGGCUGGUCAAAGGAUACAAAGCUUCAGUAUAAGAUGAAUAAACUCAGGGGAUCCAAUUUACAGCAGGGGGCUAGCAUCAACAAUACUGUAUUGCUUAUCUUGAAAUUUGCUGAUUGAGUAGAUCUUAACUGUACUCACCCCUCCAAUACACACCAUACAUGCACAAAAUGGUAACUGUGUGUGGUAAUGGCUGUGUAAUCUGUGGUAAUCACAAAUUAAUGUAUAUCAAAUCACCAUGUUGUGCAUGUUUAAUAUAUGUAAUUUUUAUUUGUCAAUUAUGCCUCACCAAAGCUUGUGGGUGGGGGGAAUAAUGAACUCUGAUGUAAGGUAUGGCCUCUGGGUUAUGAUGUGUAAAUGCAGGCUCAUCAGUCCCACAAAUGUCCCACUCUGGGGGAAUGUGAGAAUGGAGACUGUGCAUGUGUGGGGGCAUGGGGUAUAUGGGAACUGUAACUUCCCUUCCAUUUUUCUGUGAAGUUAAAACUGCUUUUUUAAAAGUCUGUUUAAAAAAUAAAAAUAAAAUGAAGAAUGAUGACCGUGCUGACGUGACUUUUCAGUGGAACUUACUUAAAAACAUAAUGAGUGUUUCACUAAAUUUUUCAGUCAGUUUCAGUUCACCUCAAUGAAAUUAACUGCUAUAUGCUCUUCUGGGUUAUUUACUAUUGAAAUUGUAGGGUUUUUUUUCUAAAGGGGCAGUAGUUUAUUAAUUCUAGAAAAGAAAGGAGGGAGGCAGAGGCAGGAGGAUGGCUUGACCGCCCCACUGCACCCCAGCCUGGGCCACAGAGAGAGACUCCAUGUUUGUUUGUCUGCUUAAAAAGAAAGGUAAAAGGAAAGGAAAGAAAAAAGAAAAGGAAAGGGAAAGAGAAAGAAAGGAAAAAUGGAAGGAAAGGAAAAUGGAAAGGAAAGAUAAGGAAAUUAAAUUCACUGCUUCUCAAAGGAUCUGAUAUCCUUUGAUAUCCCUCAGUCUGUAGUAUUCUGAAGGAGUCAUACUCACAUAGGAGCCAGGCCCUUGCAGCUCUCCAGAAUCACUCUCCUGGUGCAAAGCGCAAAGGCGUCAAGAGAACAGCAGGCACCCACGUGCGAUCAGGACUCCAGACGCACAGCCCCGCGCAGGUGCAGGCUACCCAUGCAGAGUGGCAGCAAGCAAGGAAGGAAGGGUAACGGGGAGCGAUGAUUCCGCGGGAACAGCCAGUGCCCCUGGGAGCUGCUAAGCUCCUCCUCUCAGUUGUCCCGGCUGUGGAAUCAUGCGCCUCUGGACCCCUAGAAGGAACGUUCUAGUGCAUUCAGGGUUAUGUGCAGGGUGAGCGCUUCUCACGCCCAACAGCACCUAUAAGAAAAUGGCACCUCGCUAAUGACUGGCGUGCACUUUCCUAGGGCACAACUACCCGGAUGCCUAGCGGUAUAUGGAUACUUAAAAUUAGUUUUCCUAUUUUUAUACAGAAAGCUGACCUAAGUCAAAGCAAGCCACAGAGCGUGGGCACAUGGAGAGGAGGAUGAUGGCCCUCUUGCGCUGCCCUCUACCCAUGAAGCCAGUUCUCCACUGGACAGGAAGCAACCCAGCCAGGCAGAGGGCGCUGAGAAGAUUCAGGGCUAAGCAAACUGGGCUGUGAUACUGGAUUGAUCAUUUAACAACUGCCUGCCCUUGGGCAGUUCAUUAAACCUCUGUAGUUGAUUUCCUCAUCUGAAAACGAGCUCUAACAAUCUUCAUUUCAUAGGUGUGUUGUGAAUUUGAGUGAGCUCAACAGGAGCUCUGAAAAUCAGUCCUGUCAUAGCUGAUCUCUGACUGCAUGUAACUAACUCCAGCCAUUCUUUUUUUAUUUAUUUUUUUAGACGGUGUCUGGCUCUGUCGCCCAGGCUGGAGUGCAGUGGCGCGAUCUCGGCUCACUGCAAGCUCCGCCUCCCGGGUUCACGCCAUUCUCCUGCCUCAGCCUCCCGAGUAGCUGGGACUACAGGCGCCCGCCACUACGCCCGGCUAAUUUUUUGUAUUUUUAGUAGAGACGGGGUUUCACUGUGUUAGCCAGGAUGGUCUCCAUCUCCUGACCUCGUGAUCCACCUGCCUCGGCCUCCCAAAGUGCUGGGAUUACGGGCCUGAGCCACCGCGCCCGGCCACUCCAGCCAUUCUUAAUCCAAGGCUUCCCUGCCCGGCUUCACACCAGUCCCUUUGGGAUCUCUCAAUUCAUCACAUGGUUUUGUCGUCUUCCAUUGAAAUUCCAACCUGUUUGGCCAAUGGAGAAGUUGUAUAGUCUCUGAUCCCUGAGAAACAGUUCCACGAGACUUUGGCCUCCAUCUGUGAUCACACAUCCCUCAGGGGAGAAAAUAAUUUGGCUAAUCCACAUAAGCAGUUGCAAUUCUCUCUUUCAAAAGGUUGUCAAAUGUAUACAAAUUACUUUGAGAAAUGAAAGAUAGUCUCUUGAAAAUAAUUUCUGAAGUUAUUUUUGCUACAUUUGUAUUAAAGAAAAUGUUUAAAGACAGGAUCAAGAAAUUAAAGACAGUUUCAAGAAAAAUUAGAACAUACUAUAUUAACCAAAGCCUAAAAUAAGACUGGUGUCCUGUAGGGAGCAGCCAUUGGUGAAUUAUACAGGUACCAUAUUGUACCUUUGCUUUUUUUUAAUGCCUCUGUAUGUGUGAUUUGGUGAUAUUAUCUAAGGUAGGCUAUGUUGACACUUAGGAGAAUGUGGAACAUGUAUGUACACACAACUACAGUGAUUACAACACAUACUUCAAUGAUGGAGAAGAAGAAACUUGGGAGAGAAGAGGCAGGCAUUGUGCCAGACCCUCUGUCACCCCAUUCCGUCCCACAUUUCUCUAGUUCCAAGACAGCCACAUAGUUCUGGUGAGGCUGAGACAAGUACAACCAUGAGGCCCAGACUGGCCCAGGGGUGACUUGAAUGAGUCAGUAAAUGGCACAUAACCUAAGAUAUCCCAGCAGAGGAAGCCUGGAACUUCUGUUCAGUGGACUGGGGAAGAAACACUGUAUCCUGCUAUUUAUAAGCAAGAAGAGGAGUAUUUUUAGAAGGACCAAGCUCUACGCCUAGCAAGCUUGGGUGAGUUGGCUCCCUUUGGUGCAGAAAUUUGAGUUCAGGAAAUGUAACCAUUUCCAUAGUACUUUUGCAGUUUUGUUUUCUUCUACACCCCUUACAAAGUUCCCCCUUUGGGGAGGUUUCAAUACUGCUGAGGCUGAACUGUAGGGAAGCAAAAGUCUCCCAGAGGAAGGUUCGUGAGAGAUUGAACCCUACAGGUCUGUAUUGUGAUAGCAACAAAUUAAUUACAACUAAUGAGAAAAGGAAUAGGCUAAACUAAGACCAAGGAUCAAAGAAUUUUCUGAUUCCUCCUAUUUUUUCUUGACAA
rnacentral:lncRNA from 1 species